rnacentral:lncRNA from 1 species
GCAAAAGGCUUUGCAGCCAUACAAAACAUGUAUUUCAUCUUGGAAGAAAAAGAACAACAGUCCUGAUGAUGGUGACAGGUCAAAUUAAUCUACCAGGUAACACAUACACAACAUAUUGUUUUAAGGCUUUUCCAUUUAAACAUACAUGCAUGCAUAUUGGGACCAGGGAAGACACUUAGAGAUCCAAAGUUACAAUGUGGGGUGGGGUUAAUUGCAAUGAAAAAAUGUUAGUGAAAUUCUCAAUUGGCUUCUAUCAGUUGAUUAUUGAUUAAGUAUAAAUUUAACUUUAUUUUAGCUAUAGUUGAAAAAUCUACUUUUUUCAUCUGUUAUAUUUAUCCUUCCAUGGAUGGGCACUUGUUGUUUAACUUACAUGUACAUUAUUGUUAUGUUAGUUUAGUAAAAUAUAAUAAUGGAUUAAACCCAGAUUUUAGUUAAAUAUAGCCUCCUUUUGUUGUGCUUGAUAUCCUGAAUUUUUUUUAUUAAGUUAAGUAUUAAGAUAAGUAAGUUAACACUUAUAGAUAUUCUCCAUCAAAUAUAAUAUUUUUUUACAACCAGUAUAUAUUUUAAAUGGAACGUCAGAAAGCGAGAGUCGAAAAAACAAUGCACAAAAACAGAAAAAUUGAAACAAAUGCAUGACAUAGAUGUGUUGAAAAACAAAAGGAAUGUUUCUCUGUUUAAGAGUUAUUGUAUGGACUACAAACACAAUACAACCCUCUUAAAACCCAGGUUAUAUCAGGUGUUAAGAGUGAGCAUACACUGCUUGUAUAUGAUUUAUAGUUCAAUAAACAGUCUGUCAUUCUGUACCUCUGUCAAACCUUAAAUUAGCCAUACUUGGUAUAGAAUAAAGAUUAUUUGUACACAAUGAUUUUCAAUGUAAAGUUUCACAUAGGAAAAUAACUUUGUAUAAUUUUCAUAUUUCUGUUUCCUGUAAACUAGUAACGAUUACCAGUAUAGUUGUAUAGUUCUGAGCAUUUUGUCAAACAUAUAAACUUGUAAUAAUAUUCCCUGAACAUUUUGGUACAGGAUUGUGGGUAAAACUCUUAAAAUAUAAAUAUUUCUGUAACAAUUGUACAUGUAAUAACAAUUAGCCACUUCAUGAUAUCCAUUACCAAAAAUGUUGUAUAGUCUGAUUAUAACCACAGAAUUUACUUUGCUUUUCAGAUACUAGUGAAGAAAUAAAGAAACAAGAGUAGACACCAUUUGACCAACUGUGCUUACAAUACUUGUGCAAUAGUUGUAAUUGCUGUCCAUACUACAUUGUAGUGUCAUACAUGUAUGAUAAUACAUUACAGCAUCCACAGAAUUAUCAUCUUGGUCGUCAAUGCCUCUCAUUUCUUAAUAAAUUGCAUUUGUUAUUUUGGUUGUAUGAUUUUCUAAAAAGACUUUUUUGUUAUUAAUGGAGUAGAAUGUUGAAAAAACAAAUGACAAAGAUCAUUGCUGAAUGAAGUACAAGUAUUUUUUUAAAGUUUAAAUAGACAAUUGGUAUGGUGUUUGAGUGAUUUAAAAUAGAUAUUUCUUAUUUGUUUCCAGUACAUUAAUAAGCACUUUAUCACACAAUCAGUGGCAGAUCCAGAAAUUUUCAUAAGUUGGGGCCCACUGACUGCCUAAGAGGGGGUCCGGCCCACUCCAGUCAUGCUUCAGUGAUUCCCUAUAUAAUCAACCAAAUUUCUUUCCAAAAAAGGG